rnacentral:tRNA from 1 species
AGGGGUGUUGCCAAGCGGUCUAAGGCCCCGGGCUUUGAUCCCGGUACUCGCAGGUUCGAAUCCUGCCACCCCUUCCA